ACAAUGUAAAAUCUAGUAAUCUAGUUUAUAAAAUUCUUGACAAAAUUAUAAUUUUUGUUUUCUCCUAUGCACUUCUAUAGUCAUUUUAUAACUCUUGUUCAAGUGCCUCUUUUUGAUUGAUGACACUCCUAUGAAGGUAGGUGCGUGCUGCACUCACAAGAGAYCGCCAGUGAUAUGCUGGAGGAAGGUGGGGAUGACAUCAAGUCCGCAUGGUCCUUAUGGGCUAGGCCACACAUUUGCUACAAUGGCAACGACAAUGGAAAGUAAGGCCAUAAGGCAGAGCAAAUUCAGAAGAUUGCCUCAGUUCAUAUUGUUCUCCGCAACUUGAGAACAUGAAGUUGGAAUUGCUAGUAAUUGCAAAUUAGCAUGUCACGGUGAAUA
rfam:Picea glauca, whole genome shotgun sequence.